rnacentral:rRNA from 1 species
GAUGAACGCUGGCGGCGCGCCUAACACAUGCAAGUCGAACGAUUAAAGCACCUUCGGGUGUGUAUAAAGUGUCGCAAGGCUGAGUAAAACGUGGGCAACACGCCCCUUUCAUUGUGAUAGACCCUGGAAACACUGGAUCUUACACAAUAUUUCGAGUCUUCCUCCUGGAUGACGCGUGAAAGCUCCGGCGGGUGGGGAUUGGCCCGCGGCCUGUUAGCUUGUUGGUGGGGUAACGGCCUACCAAGGCAAUGAGGGGUAGCUGGGCUGAGAGGCCGACCGGCCAGAUUGGGACUGAGACACGGCCCAGACUCCUACGGGAGGCAGCAGUGGGGAAUCUUGCACAAUGGGCGGAAGCCUGAUGCAGCGACGCCGCGUGCGGGAUGAAGGCCUUCGGGUUGUAAACCGCUUUCAGCAGGGACGAGGCGAGAGUGACGGUACCGGCAGAAGAAGCCCCGGCUAACUACGUG